CAGUUGGCAGCACCGUGGUCAGAGACCGUACAAAGUGAGGCUACAGAGCCUUCUGAAGACUAGGCUCUGCCUUCGUGUGGCAUUGUCUCCAUCACAUGUUAUUGGUUAAAACAACCACAGGAUCAGACCAUAUAGGGAUUGGGAAAAUGGACUCCACCUCCUGAGAGGGAGAAGCCACAGAGUAAGGGGGAGCAUGGGAGUAAGAGAAUAAUUGUCAUCGCACUGCAAUUUGCUUCUUUGCAUAGCUCGGGUCCUGCUCAUCCCCUUCUGAAUUGCUGCCUCAGGUCUGCCCUCAGAGGCAAUGUUUCUGUUUGAGCCACAGCAUCAUCCGUCCUAUGGAAUACGUCUCUCUGCGUCUGCUCCUACGAAGUUUGCAACUUGCAUGCUGACUUCCCAGUGUCAGUGCCUACAAGCGGAUAUAAAGGAGAGAAGGAAGAAAAGAUGAACCAGAACACAGGAUUCCAGCUCCGAGAAUUACAAGCUGAUUGUCAGGGUUCAGAUGCACUGUAUCCCACAGUGUGGAUGUAUCAGAAUUUUUCAACUAUUCUCCUAUGCAUUUGUAUCUAGGUUGUUUCCAGUAUAUUAUGAUUAAAAAUAACACUUUAAUGAGUAAAUAAUGUGUAUGUAUAUUUUUGUACAAUUAAAUGAAUAUCUUCAGGG
rnacentral:lncRNA from 1 species